GACGAACGCUGGCGGCGUGCUUAACACAUGCAAGUCGAACGGAAAGGCCCUGCUUUUGUGGGGUGCUCGAGUGGCGAACGGGUGAGUAACACGUGAGUAACCUGCCCUUGACUUUGGGAUAACUUCAGGAAACUGGGGCUAAUACCGUAUAGGAGCUCCUGCUGCAUGGUGGGGGUUGGAAAGUUUCGGCGGGUGGGGAUGGACUCGCGGCUUAUCAGCUUGUUGGUGGGGUAGUGGCUUACCAAGGCUUUGACGGGUAGCCGGCCUGAGAGGGUGACCGGCGACAUUGGGACUGAGAUACGGACCAGACUCGUACGGGAGGCAGCAGUGGGGAAUAUUGCACAGUGAGCGGAAGCCUGAUGCAGCAACGCCGCGUGCGGGAUGACGGCCUGCGGGUUGUAAACCGCUUUCGCCUGUGACGAAGCGUGAGUGACGGUAAUGGGUAAAGAAGCACCGGCUAACUACGUG
rnacentral:rRNA from 1 species